UACAGAGGUCUCAAGCGUUGUUCGGAUUCAUUGGGCGUAAAGGGUGUGUAGGUGGCGCGCUAAGUCGGGUGUGAAAUUUCGGAGCUUAACUCCGAAACUGCAUUCGAUACUGGCGUGCUUGAGGACUGGAGAGGAGACUGGAAUUCAUGGUGUAGCAGUGAAAUGCGUAGAGAUCAUGAGGAAGACCAGUGGCGAAGGCGGGUCUCUGGACAGUCCUGACACUGAGACACGAAGGCCAGGGAGCAACGGG
rnacentral:rRNA from 1 species